UUGGAGAUAUGUCCUAUUAGCUAGUUGGCGGGAUAAAAGCCCACCAAGGCAAUGAUAGGUAGCUGGUCUAAGAGGAUGAACAGCCACAAUGGGAUUGAGAUACGGCCCAUAUUCCUACGGGAAGCAGCAGUAGGGAAUCUUCCACAAUGGACGAAAGUCUGAUGGAGCAAUGCCAUGUGAACGACGAAGGCCAGACAGGUCGUAAAGUUCUUUUAGAGGGGAAAAAUCUGAUGGUACCCUCUGAAUAAGUGACAGCAAACUAUGUGCCAGCAGCUGCGGUAAUACAUAGGUCGCGAGCGUUAUUCGGAUUUAUUGGGCGUAAAGCAAGCGCAGGCGGAUGAAUAAGUUCUGCAUUAAAAGCAGCUGCUUAACAGUUGUUUGUGC
rnacentral:rRNA from 1 species